AAUCAUAAUACAGUUGGUUAGAGCGUGGUGCUAAUACCAAAUACUAUUGGAAACUGUUGACGCCAAGGUCGCGAGUUCGACCCUCGUAGUGACCA